UCGCUCGCCCGCCUGCGCGUCCACGACGCGACCAACGAUUGGCAGAAGGCUGGCGGUCUGCUGGCGGUGGCACGUCGGUUUCUCUCGGACUGGCUUUCCAGUUGAGCCGUGAUUUCCUUGGAGCUGCAGACACACGCCAGGGGCUCCCACUCCGGGGCUGGCGGCAGCCGCAAUGGUCGGUCAGUGCGGCGGCUGAAGCCUCAGUUGCUGCCGCGGUCGCAGGGCGGUGCGCCGAGGCCAGUGCCGGGCGGUAGGCACGGCUGAGCUGAGGUGGCUGGUGCAGAGACGCAGCUCCUCGUCCUGCACCCACCGCUGCUGCGGGCAGUGCCGGGCGGUCGGGCUGCGCACUGGCGUUUGCGAGGCUGCCUCGGAGCGCCGUUCCCCCAAGAAGACUCCCUGCCUCCUGAGUCCCGGUGUCAGGCAGCUGAAGAUGAGAGCCUUUGUCAUACCUCAGCUGUGCAAGGAUGUCUGUGACCAACAGGGAGAAAGGAAGGUGGAUGACAG